GGUCACUGAGCAAGCAAACAGUUCUUGCUCCUUCCAUUCUACCAGAUGAGCCACAAAAAAGGACAGAUCAACAAAGCAGCCAUGAUAGGGAAUUUAUCUGAAUUUCAAGAAUCACAAACAGACCCUGUUUCUGAAGACAAGCUUCACUGGGAACUCGAAUAUGUAUAAGAAGCUGUCCAGUUUUCCCAGCACCAGCACUUUGUUGAAGAGACUGUCUUUCCAACGUUGGAUAAUUUUAUAUGCAACAUUAUCAAGUAUCCCUGAUAGAGGAGAAUUUCCAUUUUGAUUAGAUG